rnacentral:lncRNA from 10 species
GCCAAAAAGAAAAAGAAAAAGAGAAAGGAAGGGAGGGAAGGAGGGAGGGAAAUUAAAAAAAUAAAAUGCUAACAUCCAGGGAAUUAGUUCAGCUGAGAUCAGAUCUGAAACAAGUCAAAACCCUUUAAAUGCUCAAACUGCCUGCUCUGGAGCCCCUGCAGGGUUUGUCAGUGCUCCAGCCUGUGGGCCAGAGGCUAUGAGUCUCUACAAACAUGAGGCUAUGUUUGCAGCCUGGGUUCAAUUUCCA